CGACUGGCGGCAAAUUACAUUUAUUUUUUCUUUGUCAUAAUUGCGGAUGUUAAGCCAAAUUAAUAGAUUGGAUUAGCUGAAUCUGAGUCCAAAAGUGCAGUUGCCACAACUUCAUGUAAGCCGUGUUAUCUGCGCCAUGAAAAUUAUUCGGCAUAAGCACUUCAUAUGGCAACGAACGACUUUGGGAUGGAGAAAAUCCUGGUUGCCAAAUGCUGGAGUCACGUAAGCGCCGCCAGGAUUGCAACUGCAACGCUGCAACUGAAGCUAAUUGAAGCUGGCUCAAAGGAAAAAAUGUAAUGGCACCUUCUGCACGUGAUGGCGACGAAACUCAUUAGAAGAAACUUUAGAUGCGGAUUGCUUUAAUUGCAGUUAUUAAAUGCGGUAUAUAUCAAUAAAUUAGUUGUAAAUGC
ensembl:ncRNA lncRNA:CR45408 long non-coding RNA:CR45408